rnacentral:lncRNA from 1 species
UGGUGAGGGGUUCCGCCUGUUGAUGGUGAAUGGCUGGAGGGCUCCGCCUGUUGGUGGUGAAUAGCUGGGAGGGCUCCGCCUGUUGGUGGUGAGAGCUGGGAGGUUCGUGGUGAGGGGUUCCACCCGUUGGUGGUGAGUGCCAGGGUGUUCGUGGUGAGCGCUGCCGCCUGUUGGUGGUGAGAGCUGGGAUGGCUGGCGCCUGUUGGUGGUGAAUGCCUGGAGGGCUCCGCCUGUUGGUGGUGAGAGCUGGGAGGGCUCUGCCUGUUGGUGGUGAAUGUCCGGAGGGCUCUGCCUGUUGGUGAUGAGAGCUGGGAGGUUCAUGGUGAGGGGUUCCGCCUGUUGGUGGCGAGCAGUCAGAGCUGAGAGGGCUCCGCCUGUUGGUGGUGAGCACCAGGAGGUUCGUGGUGAGGGGUUCCACCUGUUGGCGGUCGGAGCUGGGAGGGCUCCGCCUGUUGGUGGUGAGAGCUGGGAGGUUCGUGGUGAGCACUGCCGCCUGUUGGUGGUGAGAGCUGGGAGGGCUCCUCCUGUUGGUGGUGAAUGCCUGGAGGGCUCCGCCUGUUGGCGGUCGGAGCUGGGAGGGCUCCGCCUGUUGGUGGUGAGCGCCAGGAGGUUCAUGGUGAGGGGUUCCGCCUGUUGGUGGUGAGAGCUGGGAGGGCUCUGCCUGUUGGUGGUGUGAGCUGAGAGGUUUGUGGUGAGCGCUGCCGCCUGUUGGCGGUCAGAGCUGAGAGGGCUCCGCCUGUUGGUGGUGAGAGCUGGGGGGUUCAUGGUGAGCGGUUCCGCCUGUUGGUGGUGAAUGCCUGGAGGGCUCUGCCUGUUGGUGGUGACAGCUGGAAGAUUCGUGGUGAGGGGUUCCGCCUGUUGGUGGUG